GAGCGCAACCCUUGUCCUURGUUCUACGCAAGAGCACUCUAAGGAGACUGCCGGUGACAAACCGGAGGAAGGUGGGGAUGACGUCAAGUCCUCAUGGCCCUUAUGGGUAGGGCUUCACACGUCAUACAAUGGUCGGAACAGAGGGUUGYCAACCCGCGAGGGGGAGCUAAUCCCAGAAAACCGAUCGUAGUCCGGAUUGCACUCWGCAACUCGAGUGCAYGAAGCUGGAAUCGCUAGUAAUCGCGGAUCAGCAUGCCGCGGUGAAUACGUUCCCGGGUCUUGUACACACCGSYCGUCACACCAUGGGAGUGGGUUUUACCAGAAGUGGCUAGCCUAUCCGCAAGGAGGACGGUCWCCACGGUAGGAUUCAUGACUGGGGUGAAG
rnacentral:rRNA from 1 species